AUUAAAAUAAAGCAUUGCGAUGGUCCAUUUGGAUGCCGACGCAAUGUGAUUUAUUCCCAUUGCUAUGCAUGUCAAAGUGAUGAAAUUAAACCAAGCACGGGUAAAGGACGGGAGUAAAUUUGACUCUCUUAAGAUAGCCAGAUGCCUCAUCAUCUAAUUAGUUAUGUGCAUGAAUGGAUUAACGAUAUUUCCACUGUCCCUAGCUAUUAUCUAGAGAAACAACAUCCAAGGGAGCGGGCUUGG
rnacentral:ncRNA from 1 species